GACGAACCGUGCGAACGUUAUUCGGAAUCACUGGGCUUAAAGCGCGUGUAGGCGGGACGACACGUCGGUCGCUGAAAUCCCCCGGCUUAACCGGGGAACUGGCGUCGAUACGACCGCCCUGGAGGGGCGUAGGGGGACCUGGAACUUCCGGUGGAGCGGUGAAAUGCGUUGAGAUCGGAAGGAACGCCCGUGGCGAAAGCGAGGUCCUGGACGCCUACUGACGCUGAGACGCGAAAGCGUGGGGAGCGAACAGG
rnacentral:rRNA from 1 species